rnacentral:tRNA from 1 species
AAGCCCUGGGGUGUUAGCACGUGUGGUUGCAAACCUCAAGAAGCAGAAUAAUUCUCUGCCGGGGCUUC